GGAUUAGAUACCCUGGUAGUCCACGCCCUAAACUAUGGAUACUAGACGUAAGAGGUAUCGACCCCUCUUGUGUCGCAGCUAACGCAUUAAGUAUCCCGCCUGGGGAGUACGGCCGCAAGGUUGAAACUCAAAUGAAUUGACGGGGACCCGCACAAGCGGUGGAGCAUGUGGAUUAAUUCGAUACUAACCGAAGAACCUUACCCAGGUUUGACAUCGAUCGCAACUCCCUGAAAGGGGAGCCUCUCCACAAGAGACGUGAAGACACUUGUUGCAUGGCUGUCGUCAGCUCGUGCC
rnacentral:rRNA from 1 species